GAUGAACGCUGGCGGCGUGCCUAAUACAUGCAAGUCGAGCGAACAGAUAAGGAGCUUGCUCCUUUGACGUUAGCGGCGGACGGGUGAGUAACACGUGGGUAACCUACCUAUAAGACUGGGAUAACUUCGGGAAACCGGAGCUAAUACCGGAUAACAUUUGGAACCGCAUGGUUCUAAAGUGAAAGAUGGUUUUGCUAUCACUUAUAGAUGGACCCGCGCCGUAUUAGCUAGUUGGUAAGGUAACGGCUUACCAAGGCGACGAUACGUAGCCGACCUGAGAGGGUGAUCGGCCACACUGGAACUGAGACACGGUCCAGACUCCUACGGGAGGCAGCAGUAGGGAAUCUUCCGCAAUAGGCGAAAGCCUGACGGAGCAACGCCGCGUGAGUGAUGAAGGGUUUCGGCUCGUAAAACUCUGUUAUUAGGGAAGAACAAAUGUGUAAGUAACUGUGCACGUCUUGACGGUACCUAAUCAGAAAGCCACGGCUAACUACG
rnacentral:rRNA from 1 species